UUCUAGACUCUGAAGGGACGGUCCCUGCGUCGUCUUCCUAAUGAUCCUCAAAACUAAUUUUCCCGAGCCUAGAGAAGAGCCACAGAUUUAAGAUUCCACCCGCGCUGACUACCUCCCUUUCGGAUAUUUCAGCAUUUUCUUCCAAAUUGAUUAACUGCUGCCUCCUGGUCCUCCCUCUCCACCCCUGCCCUUGCUGCCUUCUCUCGGGGGUUAGGAUAGGGGGUGGGGGAGCUCCUUUACACAGCCAGCUAGGAGCAACUGGCAGCACGGGUAAAGAAGAGCAGUCGUCUAAGUUUGCUUUUGCCACAUCCCAGCUACUACUGUAAUCUUAAGGAACAGUCCGCGAACACGCGCGCACACACACACGCACGCACGCGCGCAUACACACACACACACACACGCACACACACAUGCAUACACAGGUACACAGGCAGUGGCAGCCUGCUCUGCGGCGCACAUCGCGGCAGCUCAGGCAACGCAAAGUUGGUGGUGUGUUCCGUCCAGGCGCUCCCUACCUUCCCAGGCGCUUCGCAGACUCCAGGUAAUGGAUGGAGGGCAGUGAGAGGAUGUGUGUGAACUUUCUGUCAUGAAGGACAAUUUACAGGAACUAAUCAUCCUACAACAGUCGCUCAGAAAAAGGAAAUUCAUCAACCAGGCACCCCGAAUAGCUAUAAAGUUCCUGGUCAGAGGAAGGAGUUGGUCUCUACAGAAAUGUAGCCCAGUGGAAAUCCAUGGACCUACCUUGCAAAGGAGAACCUCUUUGAGUAGGCAGUGUGAAGAUACAAUGAGAAGUCAUCCAUCUGCAAACUAGGAAGAAGGCCGUUGCCAGACACUGGAUCCACUGGCGCAUUGAUCUUGGAUGUCCCAGCCUCCAGAACUGUGAGAAAUAAAUGUUUGUUAU